GGCACCCACUCAGGUGAAGCAGGAGUUGGUGCCCAGCCCGGAGGUAGGAUGUGCCCAGGUUCACUAUCAAGAUGGGAUGAAGCUUGCAGUCAGUAGCCUCAGCCCUGGUCUCCACCUUCACUGUCAGGAACGGCCCCCUGACCCUGCCCUACAUGGGUCUGCUCCAGGCUGUGGUUUCCUUGGGUUUGGAGCUCUGGUUCCUCAGCACCCACCCUGGCCACUUGGCAAACAGCCUACAGAAACAACUCUCAGGUACCUUCACUCAGUCUGCUGUGAGCCUGAAGGACAUGAAAAGGCAAGCCAGAACCUUUCCCCAAGCUCCUUAGCAGCUUGGGUUUCAGUGGGGAACUGGCCCCAUAUAUAAAGCUCUGUUCACCAACUGUCCACACCUGCUCUGUGUCGCAGAGGCUGACCUGAAGGGACUGCAUCAACCGGCCACAGUGCCCUUUGGUUUCUGGUUGGAGCAGCCGAAGGGAAGACCAGCAGAAGACAGAAAGGGACAGAGGAGAAAGGAAGAAACUGGGGUUCUGGGUAAUAUCAACCUUGCUGUUCCUAACUCUAGGACACUGAAAAAUCCUGUGUGGUUUCCCUUCACACCACACCUCCUCAUCUUAAUAAAUAAACCUACCUUGAACCUUUAUUAAACCUACCUUGAACUCUCCUACUUUAAGUGUAAAACUGUUUUC